AGGGCCUUAACUUCCAUAUAAGCUCGCAAUCCGUAGGCAAUCAAAAAUAAAAAUUUGAUUAACGGAAUGACAUCGGUGCAAUUUAAUGCAGAAACUCCGGAGAGAAAACAGUAGCUAACUGACAGGUAUCGCCAUCAAAUGCCUAUGCAUCUUAUCCCAUGUCAUUGUGAAGUGAUAUCUGUGACAUCUGUCAAAGUGGUCUUUUGUCACAUCUGCCAUUACCGUUUGAGGUGCUAUUGCAUAUAAUACCCAGUCACCAUUAAUCAUCCUGUGCAUCACCCUGAGUGAGCAACUUCACAUGGAUGACCUACUGUGGUCUUUUGUAAUAUCCAUACUGCUAGGCUUGCCAGGUGCUUGUAUGCAAUAGACAUCACUUCGGACUUUCUUCUCAGCAUAGCCAUCCUGAUUGCCUGAUCUCUGUCGCAUUUUCUUCAUAUGGGACAUGGUCAGUCACUGCAAAAUAUGUCUGACCUAGCUGUGCAGUUAUAACGAAUUUGGUGAGACAUCCCUCAGGACAGCAUUAGAUGUUCAUAUGAAACUGUGCCAGAUAACAUCAGUGCUUGCACAGCCCUAUGAAAUAUUAAUCUGUAACAGUUGAAAUGAUCUUACUGCAACGAAUGAUGUUACUGACUUGUUAGAUUUUUACAUUUAAUAAAGCAGUAUUUUAGUGACUAAAAAAAAAUAAUUUUUGAGAACAUGGUUAGAUGUUCUACCUUCUAAAAUGUAUAUUUUGAUGUUUGCUUAUACCAGAUGAAUAAAAACAUUAAAUCAAAUGAA
rnacentral:misc_RNA from 1 species